CCAAAAAGUGGUACGGUACCAAAAAUUGAGCGUAGUGUAAACGGGGCUUAGCUAAAUAUACCCGUUUACACUACGCUCAAUUUUUGGAACCGUACCACUUUUUG
rnacentral:miRNA from 1 species